rnacentral:lncRNA from 1 species
UUUCAAGACCUCAAAAACCCACAACACCCAAAAGAAACCCAAGAAUUCACUAAUGGCACCAUUUCUUGCUCCCAACCUCAUCACCAUCAUCAUGAUCACGAUCAUCACAACCUCACCGCAGCUCGUUCUGACUCACCCGAACCUCAUCCCUCCCCACCUCUCCCAACUCGACACGUGGAUCGUCCACAACAUGAGGGACUACGCCAACCGCAAGGCUACCCAAGUCACUCUCCGCUUCGACUCUAAAUUGCUCUCCGCCGAGUACGCCUUCAAAAUAAUAACCGUCAAGAAAGACGGCACCGGAG